UACGUAGGGUGCGAGCGUUAAUCGGAAUUACUGGGCGUAAAGCGUGCGCAGGCGGUGAUGUAAGACAGAUGUGAAAUCCCCGGGCUCAACCUGGGAACUGCAUUUGGGACUGCAUCGCUGGAGUGCGGCAGAGGGGGAUGGAAUUCCGCGUGUAGCAGUGAAAUGCGUAGAUAUGCGGAGGAACACCGAUGGCGAAGGCAAUCCCCUGGGCCUGCACUGACGCUCAUGCACGAAAGCGUGGGGAGCAAACAGG
rnacentral:rRNA from 1 species